GUGUGUGUAGAUAGAUUUGCAAGUGUGCAUAUAGCUAUAUGUAUGUGACACCCACACAUGCAUACACACA
rnacentral:miRNA from 1 species